rnacentral:rRNA from 1 species
AACGGCGUCGAGCGGCGGACGGGUGAGUAAUGCCUGGGAAAUUGCCCUGAUGUGGGGGAUAACUAUUGGAAACGAUAGCUAAUACCGCAUAAUGUCUACGGACCAAAGAGGGGGACCUUCGGGCCUCUCGCUUCAGGAUAUGCCCAGGUGGGAUUAGCUAGUUGGUGAGGUAAUGGCUCACCAAGGCGACGAUCCCUAGCUGGUCUGAGAGGAUGAUCAGCCACACUGGAACUGAGACACGGUCCAGACUCCUACGGGAGGCAGCAGUGGGGAAUAUUGCACAAUGGGCGCAAGCCUGAUGCAGCCAUGCCGCGUGUAUGAAGAAGGCCUUCGGGUUGUAAAGUACUUUCAGUCGUGAGGAAGGCAAUACAGUUAAUAGCUGUGUUGUUUGACGUUAGCGACAGAAGAAGCACCGGCUAACUCCGUGCCAGCAGCCGCGGUAAUACGGAGGGUGCGAGCGUUAAU